rnacentral:rRNA from 1 species
UAGGGAAUCUUCGGCAAUGGGACGAAAGUCUGACCGAGCAACGCCGCGUGAGUGAAGAAGGUUUUCGGAUCGUAAAACUCUGUUGGUAGAGAAGAACGUUGGUGAGAGUGGAAAGCUCAUCAAGUGACGGUAACUACCCAGAAAGGGACGGCUAACUACGUGCCAG